rnacentral:rRNA from 1 species
ACGAACGCUGGCGGCGUGCUUAACACAUGCAAGUCGAACGCUGAAGCCCUUCGGGGUGGAUGAGUGGCGAACGGGUGAGUAACACGUGGGCAACCUGCCCUGCACUCUGGGAUAACUUCGGGAAACCGGAGCUAAUACCGGAUAAUAUCCUCCUCCGCAUGGUGGGGGGUUGAAAGUUCCGGCGGUGCAGGAUGGGCCCGCGGCCUAUCAGCUUGUUGGUGGGGUAGUGGCCUACCAAGGCGACGACGGGUAGCCG